rnacentral:ncRNA from 12 species
GGGUGCACACACGCUGGUGUGAUGCAGGAUGCGCGAUGGUCGGGCCGCCACG